GAACUGCAGGACACAUGAACACCGACACGUUGAACGCAUAUUGCGCAUCGGACGUCUCAACCCGACCGAUGCACACAUCCUUGAGU
rnacentral:rRNA from 1 species